rnacentral:misc_RNA from 1 species
UCCGGUUUGGCACCGGCAGUCUCCCAUGAGUCCCCGGCAUGACCCGCUGGCAACAUGGAACAGGGGUUGCGCUCGUUGCGCCACUUAAGGCAACACCUCACGGCACGAGCUGACGACAGCCAUGCAGCACCUGUGCAGGCUCCCGAAGGAGCGCCGGCUUUCACCGGUUUCACCCUGCAUGUCAAGCCCUGGUAAGGUGGGGAUGACGUCUCUAGGAGGGUG